rnacentral:miRNA from 1 species
UACACUGGACUUGGAGUCAGAAGAAUUGGGUUUGCAUCUUGGAGAUGCCUUUUAUUAGCUAGUUAUGGUAAGCAACACAUGUACUCUCUCUGAUCCGAA